CAGAGCUGCACCACCAGAAACUGACAAACACUGAAGAGAAGAAGAGCUAUGAUUAAUAUAGUUACAGUUCUAUCUGUUGGGAUUCAGGGUUGUGGGAUGGUGGGGCUGCAGUCUCACCUUUUGUCCACCAGAGAGCGUCCUGAGGGUUUUGCCUGGAGGGUUGGCCUACAGCUCCGGUUCCGACGCACCUGGUGCCAAUCUCCUCAACUCCAAUAUCAGGAGGGAGUCGCCGUCACUUCACUGCCAGAGUGUCACCUAUGUUCGAGAUCCGAGAUUGCCGGUGCRCCCAGCAGUGGAACUCCCCACUUACCAGUCCGCCCUCCGACGCAGCCUCUCCAGCCAUCCACUCCCUUCCAUCUACCCUGGACUCCCCAGACGCCCUUUUCCCCCUCUCCUGGCUCGGACCCGCUCCAACCCACKUAAGAUCCACCUCCUCUGUGUACUGAAAAAGUCCCAAACUGAGCCUGAAUUAACUUGACCUGUCCUCCUGUGUUCAGAAAGCUGACGUGGGCCGAGUGACGAGAUCCUGGAUCUAAUUAAUACCUGUCAUCUCCCUGUUUUGUUUUCCUUACAAUAAACCACUCAAAAUAU